rnacentral:rRNA from 1 species
CCUACGGGAGGCAGCAGUGGGGAAUAUUGGGCAAUGGGCGCAAGCCUGACCCAGCAACGCCGCGUGAAGGAAGAAGUCUUUCGGGUUGUAAACUUCUUUCGACAGGGAAGAGCAGAAGACGGUACCUGCCGAAUAAGCCACGGCUACCUACGUGCAAGCAGCCGCGGUAAUACGUAGGUGGCAAGCGUGGUCCGGAUGUACUGGGUGUAAAUGGCGUGUAGCCGGGCUGGCAAGUCAGAUGUGAAAUCCGGGGGCUCAACCCCCGAACUGCAUUUGAAACUGUUGGGCUUGAGUCUCGGAGAGGCAGGCGGAAUUCCUGGUGUAGCGGUGAAAUGCGUAGAUAUUAGGAGGAACACCAGUGGCGAAGGCGGCCUGCUGGACGACGACUGACGGUGAGGCGCGAAAGCGUGGGGAGCAAACAGGAUUAGAUACCCCAGUAGUC